rnacentral:tRNA from 1 species
GCGGGGGUUGCCGAGACUGGUCAAAGGCGCUGGACUUAAGAUCCAGUUCAGAAGUGAUCCGUGGGUUCAAAUCCCAUCCCCCGCA